rnacentral:rRNA from 1 species
AGCGGCGGAGCAUGCGGAUUAAUUCGAUGCAACGCGAAGAACCUUACCUGGGCUUGACAUGUUCCCGACGGCGGCGGAGACGUCGCUUCCCUUCGGGGCGGGUUCACAGGUGGUGCAUGGUCGUCGUCAGCUCGUGUCGUGAGAUGUUGGGUCAAGUCCCGCAACGAGCGCAACCCUCGCCCCGUGUUGCCAGCGCGUCAUGGCGGGAACUCACGGGGGACCGCCGGGGUUAACCCGGAGGAAGGUGGGGAUGACGUCAGAUCAUCAUGCCCCUUACGUCCAGGGCUUCACGCAUGCUACAAUGGCCGGUACAGCGGGAUGCGACAUGGUGACAUGGAGCGGAUCCCUGAAAACCGGUCUCAGUUCGGAUCGGAGCCUGCAACCCGGCUCCGUGAAGGCGGAGUCGCUAGUAAUCGCGGAUCAGCAACGCCGCGGUGAAUGCGUUCCCGGGCCUUGUACACACCGCCCGUCAAGUCAUGAAAGUGGGCAGCACCCGAAGCCGGUGGCCUGACCCGUUCGCGGGGGGGAGCCGUCUAA